GGCUCAAUGGUCUAGUAGUAUGAUUCGCGCUUCGGGUUGUCCCCGGUCCGUAACUCGGACUUAAUCUGCGCGAGGUCCCGGGUUCAAUUCCCGGUUGAGCCC